rnacentral:rRNA from 1 species
UACGUAGGGACCAAGCGUUGUUCGGAUUUACUGGGCGUAAAGGGCGCGUAGGCGGCAAAUUAAGUCAGCUGUGAAAUCUCCGAGCUUAACUCGGAACUGUCAGCUGAUACUGAUGUGCUAGAGUGCGGAAGGGGCAAUCGGAAUUCUUGGUGUAGCGGUGAAAUGCGUAGAUAUCAAGAGGAACACCUGAGGUGAAGACGGGUUGCUGGGCCGACACUGACGCUGAGUGCGCGAAAGCCAGGGAGCGAACGGG